UACGUAGGGGGCAAGCGUUGUUCGGAAUUACUGGGCGUAAAGGGCGCGUAGGCGGCCUUCUAAGUCGGACGUGAAUUCCCCGGGCUCAACCCGGGAACUGCGUCCGAUACUGGAAGGCUUGAAUUCGGGAGAGGGAUGCGGAAUUCCGCGUGUAGCAGUGAAAUGCGUAGAGAUGCGGAGGAACACCGAUGGCGAAGGCAGCCCCCUGGGCUGACACUGACGCUCAGGCACGAAAGCGUGGGGAGCAAACAGG
rnacentral:rRNA from 1 species